UUGUGUUGUCCGCAAACUUGAUGAUUGAGUUGGAGGCGUGCGUGGCCACGCAGUCGUGGGUGAACAGGGAGUACCGGAGAGGGCUCAGAACGCACCCUUGUGGGGCCCCAGUGUUAAGGAUCAGCGGUGUGGAAAUGUUGUUACCUUCCCUCACCACCUGGGGGCGGCCCGUCAGGAAGUCCAGUACCCAGUUGCACGGGGUGGGGUCGAGACCCAGGGUCUCGAGCUUGAUGACGAGUUUGGAGGGUACUAUGGUGUUAAAUGCUGAGCUCUAGUCGAUGAACAGCAUUCUCACAUAGGUAUUCCUCUUGUCCAGAUGGGUUAGGGCAGUGUGCAGUGUGGUUGAGAUUGCAUCGUCUCUGGACCUAUUUGGGCGGUAAGCAAAUUGGAGUGGGUCUAGGGUGUCAGGUAGGCUGGAGGUGAUAUGGUCCUUGACUAGUCUCUCAAAGCACUUCAUGAUGACAGAGGUGAGUGCUAUGGGGCAGUAGUCGUUUAGCUCAGUUACCUUAGCUUUCUUGGGAACAGGAACAAUGGUGGCCCUCUUGAAGCAUGUGGGAACAUGGCAAACGUUGUUUGGAAUCAAUCCUCAAGGUGUUUUUUCACAUAUCUCUUCAUUGAUAUAUCGUUCGUGGAAGCUUGCUUUCCUCUCUGAAUCCCAUGGAAAAAUACUGGCAGCUGACUUUUGCGCACCAAUUUCGGUGCAGGACACCGGGCGGACACCUGGUAAAUGUGGUCUCUUAUGGUCAAUCUUCCAAUGAUCUGCCUACAAAUACGUCACAAUGCUGCAGACACCUUGGGGAAACGACAGAAAGGGUUGACUCACUCCUCUCCCAUUCACAGCCAUAUAAGGAGACAAUGGAAAACAGAGCCUCAAAAAUCCUGCUCAUUUCCUGGAUGCCGUCUCAUCUUGGUUUUGCCUGAAGCUCACGUUCUAGGGCACGCACAGAAAAUAUCUUGGUAGUUCUGGACACGUCAGAGUGUUUUCUUUCGAAAGCUAUCAAUUAUAUGCAUAGUCGAGCAUCUUUUUGUGACAAAAUAUCUUGUUUAAAACGGUUUUCAUCCAAAAAUGAAAUAGCGCCCCCAGAGCAUCAACAGGUUAAAGGUCUCCAAAGCACAUACUUUCCUGGGUCGCUCCUCUUUUCAGUUCGCUGCAGCUUGCGACUGGAACGAGCUGCAACAAACACUCAAACUGGACAGUUUUAUCUCAAUCUCUUCAUUCAAAGACUCAAUCAUGGACAGUCUAACUGACAGUGGCUGCUUUGCGUGAUGUGUUGUUGUCUCUACCUUGCCCUUUGUGCUGUUGUCUGCCCAAUAAUGUUAGUACCAUGUUAUGUGCUGCUACCAUGCUGUGUUUGUCAGGACCCGGUUACGAACCUGUGUCUCCGGAGUGAGAAACAGUCACUUAACCAACUGAGCCACGAAUAGUCAGCAGAACCCAGAAGAUGAGGCAGACACAGCAGUACUUAAGACGGUGUAUUUAAUAAAGUAAAAAAGUGAAGUCCUUCAGGAAAACAUGUAAAUCCACAAGCUCAGAAGGAAUUCCACAAGAACAAGACAAUCCACAAGGAGGAGAUCAACAGGGUUGUAGGAAGUCGUCAGCCCUUGGUAGAGGACAGGAAGAACCUUCCCUACACUGAUGCAGUGAUCCAUGAGACCCAGAGACUGGCCAGCAUUACACCCAUGGCCGUCCCUCACACCACCAGCCGAGGUGUCACCUUCCAGGGAUAUUUCAUCAAAAAGGUCAGAUACCUGGAUAUCCAAAUCUCUGUGUUUAUUUUGUGACCAACUUCAUAUUGUCUUCUUUUUUUCUGAAGGGAGGUUACAGAUUCAAAAACAAUAAAAGAAAUGCAUAUAAAGAGAAGCCCAAUCCAUUCCCCCCUUCAGUCCCUAUCCAACCCCGCAUCCUCCUUCCCCACCUGGAAACCAUGUCUCCCACCCGCCUGUAUAAAUGUAUGGUUGGGAUUACAGGAUGCCAAGGUCAUAUUUUUCUAUUGUAACAUGUGAGCUGGGAGUUGUGAAGCAAGUUCAGGGAGUUCAAUAAAUAAAUAAUCAAUAAACUAAACAUAAUACAAAACAAGAACAAACAAUACACACAGACAUGAAACAGAAACAACGCCUGGGAAGGAACCAAAGGGAGUAAUAUAUGGAAGGUAAUCAGGCAGGUUUAUUUAUUUUUUUAUUUCACCUUUAUUUAACCAGGUAGGCUAGUUGAGAACAAGUUCUCAUUUGCAACUGCGACCUGGCCAAGAUAAAGCUUAGCAGUGUGAACAGACAACACAGAGUUACACAUGGAGUAAACAAUUAACAAGUCAAUAACACAGUACAAAAAAAGGCGAGUCUAUAUACAUUGUGUGCAAAAGGCAUGAGGAGGUAGGCGAAUAAUUACAAUUUUGCAGAUUAGCACUGGAGUGAUAAAUGAUCAGAUGGUCAUGUACAGGUAGAGAUACUGGUGUGCAAAAGAGCAGAAAAGUAAAUAAAUAAAAACAGUGUGGGGAUGAGGUAGGUGAAAAUGGGUGGGCUAUUUACCAAUAGACUAUGUACAGCUGCAGCGAUCGGUUAGCUGCUCAGAUAGCACAUGUUUGAAGUUGGUGAGGGAGAUAAAAGUCUCCAACUUCAGGGAUUUUUGCAAUUCGUUCCAGUCACAGGCAGCAGAGUACUGGAACGAAAGGCGGCCAAAUGAGGUGUUGGCAUUAGGGAUGAUCAGUGAGAUACACCUGCUGGAGCGCGUGCUACGGAUGGGUGUUGCCAUCGUGACCAGUGAACUGAGAUAAGGCGGAGCUUUACCUAGCAUGGACUUGUAGAUGACCUGGAGCCAGUGGGUCUGGCGACGAAUAUGUAGCGAGGGCCAGCCGACUAGAGCAUACAAGUCGCAGUGGUGGGUGGUAUAAGGUGCUUUAGUGACAAAACGGAUGGCACUGUGAUUAACUGCAUCCAGUUUGCUGAGUAGAGUGUUGGAGGCAAUUUUGUAGAUGACAUCUCCGAAGUCAAGGAUUGGUAGGAUAGUCAGUUUUACUAGGGUAAGUUUGGCGGCGUGAGUGAAGGAGGCUUUGUUGCGGAAUAGAAAGCCGACUCUUGAUUUGAUUUUCGAUUGGAGAUGUUUGAUAUGAGUCUGGAAGGAGAGUUUACAGUCUAGCCAGACACCUAGGUACUUAUAGGUGUCCACAUAUUCAAGGUCGGAACCGUCCAGGGUGGUGAUGCUCGUCGGGCAUGCGGGUGCAGGCAGCGAUCGGUUGAAAAGCAUGCAUUUGGUUUUACUAGCGUUUAAGAGCAGUUGGAGGCCACGGAAGGAGUGUUGUAUGGCAUUGAAGCUCGUUUGGAGGUUAGAUAGCACAGUGUCCAAGGACGAGCCGGAAGUAUAUAGAAUGGUGUCGUCUGCGUAGAGGUGGAUCAAAGGAAUCGCCCGCAGCAAGAGCAACAUCAUUGAUAUAUACAGAGAAAAGAGUCGGCCCGAGAAUUGAACCCUGUGGCACCCCCAUAGAGACUGCCAGAGGACCGGACAGCAUGCCCUCCGAUUUGACACACUGAACUCUGUCUGCAAAGUAAUUGGUGAACCAGGCAAGGCAGUCAUCCGAAAAACCGAGGCUACUGAGUCUGCCGAUAAGAAUAUGGUGAUUGACAGAGUCGAAAGCCUUGGCAAGGUCGAUGAAGACGGCUGCACAGUACUGUCUUUUAUCGAUGGCGGUUAUGAUAUCUUUGAGUACCUUGAGUGUGGCUGAGGUGCACCCGUGACCGGCUCGGAAACCAGAUUGCACAGCGGAGAAGGUACGGUGGGAUUCGAGAUGGUCAGUGACCUGUUUGUUGACUUGGCUUUCGAAGACCUUAGAUAGGCAGGGCAGGAUGGAUAUAGGUCUGUAACAGUUUGGGUCCAGGGUGUCUCCCCCUUUGAAGAGGGGGAUGACUGCGGCAGCUUUCCAAUCCUUGGGGAUCUCAGACAAUAUGAAAGAGAGGUUGAACAGGCUGGUAAUAGGGGUUGCGACACUGGCGGCGGAUAGUUUCAGAAAUAGAGGGUCCAGAUUGUCAAGCCCAGCUGAUUUGUACGGGUCCAGGUUUUGCAGCUCUUUCAGAACAUCUGCUAUCUGGAUUUGGGUAAAGGAGAACCUGGAAGGGCUUGGGCGAGAAGCUGCGGUGGGGGCGGAGCUGUUGGCCGAGGUUGGAGUAGCCAGGUGGAAGGCAUGGCCAGCCGUUGAGAAAUGCUUGUUGAAGUUUUCGAUAAUCAUAGAUUUAUCGGUGGUGACCGUGUUACCUAGCCUCAGUGCAGUGGGCAGCUGAGAGGAGGUGCUCUUGUUCUCCAUGGACUUCACAGUGUCCCAGAACUUUUUGGAGUUGGAGCUACAGGAUGCAAACUUCUGCCUGAAGAAGCUGGCCUUAGCUUUCCUGACUGACUGCGUGUAUUGGUUCCUGACUUCCCUGAACAGUUGCAUAUCGCGGGGACUAUUCGAUGCUAUUGCAGUCCGCCACAGGAUGUUUUUGUGCUGGUCGAGGGCAGUCAGGUCUGGAGUGAACCAAGGGCUGUAUCUGUUCUUGGUUCUGCAUUUUUUGAACGGAGCAUGCUUAUCUAAAAUGGUGAGGAAGUUACUUUUAAAGAAUGACCAGGCAUCCUCAACUGACGGGAUGAGGUCAAUGUCCUUCCAGGAUACCCGGGCCAGGUCGAUUAGGAAGGCCUGCUCACAGAAGUGUUUUAGGGAGCGUUUGACAGUGAUGAGGGGUGGUCGUUUGACUGCGGCUCCGUAGUGGAUACAGGCAAUGAGGCAGUGAUCGCUGAGAUCCUGGUUGAAGACAGCGGAGGUGUAUCUGGACGGCCAGUUGGUCAGGAUGACGUCUAUGAGGGUGCCCUUGUUUAGAGUUAGGGUUGUACCUGGUGGGUUACUUGAUGAUUUGUGUGAGAUUGAGGGCAUCUAGCUUAGAUUGACUGGCGGGGUGUUAAGCAUAUCCCAGUUUAGGUCACCUAAAAGAACAAACUCAGAAGCUAGAUGGGGGGCGAUCAAUUCACAAAUGGUGUCCAUGUCAGGACCCGGUUACGAACCCGGGUCUCCGGAGUGAGAAACAGUCACUUAAGCAACUGAGCCACGAAUAGUCAGCAGAACCCAGAAGAUGAGGCAGACACAGCAGUACUUGAGACGGUGUAUUUAAUAAAGUAAAAAGUGAAGUCCUUCAGGAAAACAUGUAACUCCACAAGCUCAAAAGGAAUUCCACAAGAACAAGGCAAUCCACAAGGUAAUCCUCCAAGACAAAAAGGCAAAUCCACAAGGUGGUAGGUAUAGCACAAAAAGCCUCAAAAGAUACUCAAAAAUAAAUAAACAAGAACAAAAAACAGAAUUCCACAAGAGCGUCCACCG